ACGCUCGACACCUACUGGAGGCAGCAGUGGGGAAUAUUGCACAAUGGGGGAAACCCUGAUGCAGCGACGCCGCGUGAGCGAAGAAGUAUUUCGGUAUGUAAAGCUCUAUCAGCAGGGAAGAAACUGACGGUACCUGACUAAGAAGCACCGGCUAAAUACGUGCCAGCAGCCGCGGUAAUCUGAGGCGGCUGGACAAGGC
rnacentral:rRNA from 1 species